CUCAGGAUGGACGAGCGAUCUAAGGUGCUGCGUUCAGGUUGCAGUCUCCCUUGGAGGUGUGGGUUCGAAUCCCACUCCUGAGA
rnacentral:tRNA from 1 species